rnacentral:piRNA from 1 species
UGAGGGAGAACUGCCCUGUGUCCUAAGCCC